rnacentral:rRNA from 1 species
GUAAGGAAUAUUGGACAAUGGACGCAAGUCUGAUCCAGCCAUGCCGCGUGAAGGAUUAAGGUCCUCUGGAUUGUAAACUUCUUUUAUAAGGGACGAAAAAAGGCUUUUCUAAGUCGUCUGACGGUACCUUAUGAAUAAGCACCGGCUAACUCCGUGCCAGCAGCCGCGGUAAUACGGAGGGUGCAAGCGUUAUCCGGAUUCCCUGGGUUUAAAGGGUGCGUAGGCGGGCAGGUAAGUCAGUGGUGAAAUCCUAGAGCUUAACUCUAGAACUGCCAUUGAUACUAUCUGUCUUGAAUAUUGUGGAGGUAAGCGGAAUAUGUCAUGUAGCGGUGAAAUGCUUAGAUAUGACAUAGAACACCUAUUGCGAAGGCAGCUUACUACGCAUAUAUUGACGCUGAGGCACGAAAGCGUGGGGAUCAAACAGGAUUAGAAACCCUGGUAGUCC